UACGUAGGGUGCAAGCGUUGUCCGGAAUUAUUGGGCGUAAAGAGCUCGUAGGCGGUUUGUUGCGUCGGCUGUGAAAACCUGAGGCUCAACCUCAGGCCUGCAGUCGAUACGAGCAGACUAGAGUGUUGCAGGGGAGACUGGAAUUCCUGGUGUAGCGGUGAAAUGCGCAGAUAUCAGGAGGAACACCGGUGGCGAAGGCAGGUCUCUGGGCCAUAACUGACGCUGAGAAGCGAAAGCAUGGGGAGCGAACAGG
rnacentral:rRNA from 1 species